AUGCUACAGGACCAAUAUCAAUUCACUGGGCCCUUUGGUUAUCAAGAAGAAGUCGUUCAAUGAUUUUAGUAUAUUUUACCCCUGUGACAACAGAUUAAAUAUCAGGUGUCUGGGCCUGUGGGUAAUUGAGAAGAAGUUGAAAAUGUAAAUUGUUUAUGACGCCCACCACACGACGCACGACAAUGGACAAAAGGCUAUCACAAUAGGUCAACUUCGUCUCAAACAAUCCCUUUGAAAUCCACUUUUAUUGAUAGCCUCUUUUCUCUAAAAAUUAAUACGCCACUAUAACAGCCAAUCAAAAGCGACGUUACUAAAGGCGGUGUCAUUUCUUUUACGUUGUGAGCUGAUCACAUGAAUUUUGAAACACAUACAAUCACUUUCAUUCCCUUCAGUUAUAUCUAGUCUAACAACUAUUUAUACAAACAAUAGUAACACAAAACUUCAUUCUAUACAAUCACUUUCUCUUCAGUCAGGUCUAGAAUCUAUUCAUACAAACAAAAGGCAACAAACAUAUAUUAUUACAUAAUAUACAACAAACUAGACUUGCAUAUAAAUAUGUAUCAAAGUUUUCUGUCAAUCAACACACUCCUGUAAAUACGAAAUCAGUCUCAUUGCUUUCAUUGUUCCUGGUAUCACAGUGAUUUCUAGUAACACCGGUACCAGGUACCAAUAUUGAUGUUAUAAAAUAAUUAUGGUUGUUAUUUUUUAACAAAUAUCUUAAAUAUUGAUACCACACAAACAAAAAUAAACAAAUUACCAGGAGUUUAAAACAAUUGUAUCAGCAAUUAUAACAACAACAAUACACUUCAUAUUGUAUUACAUGAGAUUUCACCAGAUAGAAUAAAA